UACGAACGCUGGCGGCGUGCCUAAUACAUGCAAGUAGAACGCUGAAGAGAGGAGCUUGCUCUUCUUGGAUGAGUUGCGAACGGGUGAGUAACGCGUAGGUAACCUGCCUUGUAGCGGGGGAUAACUAUUGGAAACGAUAGCUAAUACCGCAUAACAAUGGAUGACACAUGUCAUUUAUUUGAAAGGGGCAAAUGCUCCACUACAAGAUGGACCUGCGUUGUAUUAGCUAGUAGGUGAGGUAACGGCUCACCUAGGCGACGAUACAUAGCCGACCUGAGAGGGUGAUCGGCCACACUGGGACUGAGACACGGCCCAGACUCCUACGGGAGGCAGCAGUAGGGAAUCUUCGGCAAUGGGGGCAACCCUGACCGAGCAACGCCGCGUGAGUGAAGAAGGUUUUCGGAUCGUAAAGCUCUGUUGUAAGUCAAGAACGAGUGUGAGAGUGGAAAGUUCACACUGUGACGGUAGCUUACCAGAAAGGGACGGCUAACUACGUGCCAGCAGCCGCGGUAAUACGUAGGUCCCGAGCGUUGUCCGGAUUUAUUGGGCGUAAAGCGAGCGCAGGCGGUUUGAUAAGUCUGAAGUUAAAGGCUGUGGCUCAACCAUAGUUCGCUUUGGAAACUGUCAAACUUGAGUGCAGAAGGGGAGAGUGGAAUUCCAUGUGUAGCGGUGAAAUGCGUAGAUAUAUGGAGGAACACCGGUGGCGAAAGCGGCUCUCUGGUCUGUAACUGACGCUGAGGCUCGAAAGCGUGGGGAGCGAACAGGAUUAGAUACCCUGGUAGUCCACGCCGUAAACGAUGAGUGCUAGGUGUUGGAUCCUUUCCGGGAUUCAGUGCCGCAGCUAACGCAUUAAGCACUCCGCCUGGGGAGUACGACCGCAAGGUUGAAACUCAAAGGAAUUGACGGGGGCCCGCACAAGCGGUGGAGCAUGUGGUUUAAUUCGAAGCAACGCGAAGAACCUUACCAGGUCUUGACAUCCCGAUGCUAUUUCUAGAGAUAGAAAGUUACUUCGGUACAUCGGUGACAGGUGGUGCAUGGUUGUCGUCAGCUCGUGUCGUGAGAUGUUGGGUUAAGUCCCGCAACGAGCGCAACCCCUAUUGUUAGUUGCCAUCAUUCAGUUGGGCACUCUAGCGAGACUGCGGGUAAUAAACCGGAGGAAGGUGGGGAUGACGUCAAAUCAUCAUGCCCCUUAUGACCUGGGCUACACACGUGCUACAAUGGUUGGUACAACGAGUUGCGAGUCGGUGACGGCAAGCUAAUCUCUUAAAGCCAAUCUCAGUUCGGAUUGUAGGCUGCAACUCGCCUACAUGAAGUCGGAAUCGCUAGUAAUCGCGGAUCAGCACGCCGCGGUGAAUACGUUCCCGGGCCUUGUACACACCGCCCGUCACACCACGAGAGUUUGUAACACCCGAAGUCGGUGAGGUAACCUUUUGGAGCCAGCCGCCUAAGGUGGGAU
rnacentral:rRNA from 1 species